GCGCGGUGGGCCUCUCUGUGCCCGCGCCGGCGUGGGGUGCCUUUGCGGGGGCAGAGCUGCGUUCUGCUUAACACAGACCCGGGGCACACCGCAAAGGGUCUCCCUCUUUUGUCCAAGGCUGGAGUGUGGUAGUGCUAUCACAGCUGACUGCAGCCUCAACCUUCCAGGCUGAAGCGAUCCUCCCAUCUCAAUCUCCUACGUGGCUGACACUACAGGUGCUUGCCACUAUGCCCAACUAACAUUUGGAAUUUUCGUAUACGUGGAUUCUAGAGGGGUGACAGCGAAACGUGAGUAAGCAUGGAUUUUGGUAUAUGCAGAGAUGGAGGGCUGGAACUAAUUCUGUAUACUGAGGGACGACGACUGUAUAUGUUUUUACAAUUACGCUGUAGGAUACAUACUGUUGCAUAGCCUUGAAAAUAAUAAUUUUUAAUUGAGUGGAAUAAGAAUAAUAUUGAUAAAAGUAGCAGCUGGCCAGGUGUGGUGGCUCACACUGGUAAUCGCAACACUUUGGGAGGCUGAGGCAGGAGGAUGGCUUGAGGCCAAGAGUUUGCGAUAGGCCUUGGAAACAAAGGGAGUCACCAUCCCUACAGAAAAAUACAUGAAUUAGCCUAGUGUGGUGGCAUGUUCCUGUAGUCCCAGCUACUUGGGAGGCUGAGGUGGGAGGAUCACUUGAGCCCAGGGAGGCUGAGACUGCAGUGAGUCAUGAUCAGGCCUCUGCACUCCAGCCUGGGUGACAGAGUGAGACCCUGUCUCUAAACAACAAAAAAGUAGCAGCUAACAUCAACUGACCUUUUACUGAGUGCCUAUGGAUACCAUAGUUUAAUUUCUUAUAACUGUUUCUUAUUUUACUUACCAACUCUGUCUUCAGUUACUCCCAGAUUUUUACUGUGUGUGUACAGAUGACCUUUUGGAGGAGCCUCAACAGGCACAGCUCCUCCCUCAUAGUGGCCCAUUUAGGCCCAACUCAUGACUGUCGGGCUAUUUCCAGGCCUAGUGUCUGCCUCGUGGCUGACUGUUGAAGCCCAAAACUUCCUCAAAUCAGCCUUUUGCCCAACUUCUGUCUACUGUCGGACUCUACAGGCCAGCCUCUGCCUCACAGUGGACCCUCCAGACCCAGAUGGUGUCUCACUGUGGCAUCCUCAGGCGAAGCUCCUGCCUUUUGGCAGCCUCUCCAGGCCCAGCUCCUCCUGCCUCCCAGUGGCCUCUUUCGGCCCAGCCCAGCUCAUGGCUCUCGGCGGCCUUCCCAGGCCCCGCUUUUGACUUUUGGCAGCCUCUUCAGGCGCAGAACUUGAUCUCCAGUCGGCCUUUGCAGGCCCGGCCUCCUGCCUCUCGAAGGCCUGCACGGGCCUGGCCUCGGCCUUGGCCUCACAGCGGACUCUCCACGCCCAGCUAGCUCUCGCCUCACUGUGGCCUCCCCAGUCCAAAGCUCCUGCCUUUCGGCCACUUCGGCAGGUCCAGCUCCUGCCUGCCAGUGGCCUCUUUAGGCCCAGCUCAUUCCUCACGUCGGCCAUUCCAGGCCCCGUUUUUCCCUUCCGGCAGCCUCUUGGCCUCUAAUUUGUUUAUCUUUUGUGUAUAAAUCCCAAAAUAUUGAAUUUUGGAAUAUUUCCACCAUUAUA
rnacentral:lncRNA from 1 species